rnacentral:rRNA from 1 species
UGAGGAAUAUUGGGCAAUGCCCGCAAGGGUGACCCAGCAACGCCGCGUGGAGGAUGAAUGUCGUAAGAUUGUAAACUCCUGUUAGAGGGGAAGAAUAGUACCGGUUGGACCGGUAUAUGACUGUACCCUCAGAGAAAGCCCCGGCUAACUACGUGCCAGCAGCCGCGGUAAUACGUAGGGGGCAAGCGUUGUCCGGAUUUACUGGGUGUAAAGGGCGCGCAGGCGGGAUAAAAAGUCAGUGGUGAAAUCCUACAGCUUAACUGUAGAACUGCCUUUGAUACUUUUAUUUUUGAGUUCGGGAGAGAGAGACGGAAUUCCAGGUGUAGUGGUGAAAUACGUAGAUAUCUGGAAGAACACCAGUUGCGAAGGCGGUCUCUUGGUCCGACACUGACGCUGAGGCGCGAAAGCCAGGGGAGCAAACG